CAUAAAUAGAAUGUGGUGGUUUUUUACUAUAAGAUUUUAGCUAAGCAGGCACGGAAUUUUCUAGAACUACUUUCCCUGUAUAAUUAGGAUUUGGCACAAAGAGCUUCAAGUGAGAUUUGGAAGGUAUAAGAGGAGCAGCAGUCAUUACAGAAGAUUAGUACAAGCCUCCAUGCAUGGCCAACCCUUGGCACAUUUGCUGCUGAUUCACGGGCUUCUCUCACUGGUGUGCAUAGACUCACAGCUCCUCUGCCUGCUGUCAGAUCGCUUCCUUCAGCUUUUCCAAGUCCUGAGUCAGACACGUGUGCAACUCUGGGGUGAAAGACACCAGCUUCUUCUGCAGAUUACCUGUAUCAUUUGGGUUUGAAGCAUAUUCUAAUGUGUCUUUGUGAAUACCAGUUUAUUCUCAAGGAUUUUAGGUUGUCUUUUCUUUUUUUUUUUUUUUUCUAUUUCGUUUAGAGCUUUUCUUCCUGAUGGCUUAUCUACCGAUCAAAGCAACUUCUACCUCACCAGCAGGUACAGAGGCAACUUCUUCCAUAGAUUUCUUCACCAGUUUUCCUUAGCCGUCUCCUUGGAACAUUUGAAAUCCUCUGGUUCUUUGGCACCCAAAUAUGAAGGUCAUUUCAUCAAAGGCCCAAAAUUUUCAUAGAGAGGAUUUGAGAAAGGUGAUCUCAACAAAAUACAAAAAAUAAAGAAGAAAAGCUACAGUAAAAGAAAUAUUGCUACUUAUAUAUGCAAACGAAGACUGAGGACAACUAUUAUCAGCUUUCUACUCUUAAGAAUUAUUUAAGUUGCUACUCCUACUUCUACAUUUGGACAUUGGUUUACCAUGACAUUUUUCCUUAUAUAUAUUUUAAAAAUCUCUUAAAAAUUAAAAUGGUAGUAUGCAUGUUUUCAGGCCAAAUAUAUAUUUCCAAAUUGUUCUAAAUUUGUUAUUACCGUGUUUUUACUCCUGAGUAAUCAAUAACAUUGAGUAAUAAAGACAGAAUUAUUUAUGUA